rnacentral:rRNA from 1 species
CCUACGGGUGGCUGCAGUGGGGAAUCUUGGACAAUGGGCGCAAGCCUGAUCCAGCCAUGCCGCGUGGAUGAUGAAGGCCUUAGGGUUGUAAAAUCCUUUCGCCGAGGACGCGGUACUCGGAGAAGAAGCUCCGGCUAACUUCGUGCCAGCAGCCGCGGUAAUACGAAGGGGGCUAGCGUUGUUCGGAUUUACUGGGCGUAAAGCGCGUGUAGGCGGGUCGUUAAGUUGGGGGUGAAAUCCCGAGGCUCAACCUCGGAACUGCCUCCAAAACUGGCGACCUGGAGCAAGAUAGAGGCGAGUGGAAUUCCGAGUGUAGAGGUGAAAUUCGUAGAUAUUCGGAGGAACACCAGUGGCGAAGGCGACUCGCUGGUCUUGCUGACGCUGAGACGCGAAAGCGUGGGGAGCAAACAGGAUUAGAUACCCUUGUAGUC